AUGGGAUGGGCAACACAAUAUACCUACCUCAUUGACAUCGCGUUUCAUGGUGAUAAACUGUAUGCCAUCACCACAGCUGAGGACCUCAUCCCCAUUGAUCUUGCAUUGGAUGGAGAAGGAAGGCCUAUGGUUGCAAUGGGACCACGUGUCAUCAAGAAAUCAAUCAACUAUGAUUAUUAUGAAUCAUUGACUACUUCUGAUGAGGAAGACGAUGAUGAGAAUGAAGAGGAUGGAGAGGAAGAAGACAACGACGAUGAAAAGAAGGAAGAGGAAGAAGAUAAUGAUUUGACCUAUAUCAAUUGCUCAGCUGAGUUUGCGCCAGAGGUCAAACUUGAUAAUAUCACCAUAAUUAGCCGGCACCUCAUCGAGUCACAUGGGAAGCUACUCAUGGUAAGGCAUAGCCGUCAGCUCCAUCCUCAAGCUUUGUGGGUCACUCUCAAGGUGGAUGUUCUUGAAGCAGACUUUAGCACACACGAGUGGGUGCCACUUACCGGAGGGCUAGGCGGCGAUCGAGCACUCUUCGUUAGCUCCACUCCAAGUCUGUCACGGCACCUUGUGGACAGGUGGAGCAAGAUGCAAUUUAUUUUGGGACAAUUGCAUUUUUACCCCUAG
rnacentral:rRNA from 1 species